CCUACGGGGCGCAGCAGUGAGGAAUAUUGGUCAAUGGUCGGGAGACUGAACCAGCCAAGCCGCGUGAGGGAUGACGGCACAGUGUAUUAUAAACCUCUUUUGUCGGAGAACAAAACCCGGGACGCGUCCCCGACUGCGUGUAUCCGAAGAAAAAGCAUCGGCUAACUCCGUGCCAGCAGCCGCGGUAAUACGGAGGAUGCGAGCGUUAUCCGGAUUUAUUGGGUUUAAAGGGUGCGUAGGCGGUCUGUUAAGUCAGCGGUGAAAUCGCGGGGCUCAACCCCGGCGCGCCGUUGAAACUGGCAGAC
rnacentral:rRNA from 1 species